GAUUUAAUCAGUAUUCGAUAGUUCAUAGAUGACUCGCUAUAUUUGAUUGCAAUAGUAUGUAUACAUGUACAAUGUUGCCAUUUUUAAUCUUCUCGCGAGCGUGGGUUCCGAAUUAAGUGGAUAACCCCGCAAUCCCAAUUUAAAAUAUUAUGUUGCUCCACUUUAAGGAAUAUGAAUGUCUGCGCCAAUCAUUUUUUAUCCGAAAUGUUCAAAGCAAAUCCUACAAAAAAUACAAAUAGAAGGAAAAGGUUGAAGGAGAAUGCCGUGCCCGAACCAUCACAAUAUUUCUGUAAAAAAUAAAGAAGAAAAUUAGAUGUACAAGAAAGACAACUUGUAAUCUAAAAACAGCUGAUGAAAAAAGAAGAAGGGCAAGCCGAAGAAGGACAUCAACAUCACCACACCACUACCAACAACAGCAAGUGAACGUGGUUUAUUGGUGUAGAGGUAACACAUUUUUUUGGUGUUAAAAAUAAUAUUUUUUAAAACAUAAAUUUUAAUGAUUUCACAUCAGCUUCAUUGCUGUAUUAUUCCAGAGGUAAAUAUUAGUGAAUACUUUUGGAAAAAGUACAAUGUUCCAGUUUUAUUUCUAUUAAAUGCAUAAUAGUAUAUAUUCGUACAAGAAGAGGAAGACGAAUCAAGAAGAAGAGGAUGAAUCCCGACAUUUUCGCCUGAGAAGAGGACGCUUCGUUGCAGAAGGCGAAAAUGCUGUUUCCCGUUGAUUCUCUUAUUCAUAAGAUAAGGCAAUCAAUCACUGUGAAGUCAGCCUACAAAACAAUCGUGUUCCGAAUUCCACAUUUUCUGAAGAAUCAAUUCCUUCAAUUAUUCUGAAGGAGAGCUUUCCGUUAAAGCUGAAGAAGAUCCGCACUCGAGAAGACAUAAAAAAAAAAAGAGCGCAUGCAUGUAUCAAGGGUCAAGAGGAAGGGCGAAGAUCAGUUUAGAUUUUCUCAACGGCAGAAAUUUAUUUAUUUCCUUUAUUUUUUGUUAGUAAAUUAUUAUAUUCUAAAAGUUUGUACUAUUUCUAACUCUACUUUAUAUGUGUCAUCGUUCAAAAAUAUAGUAAACAAUUAAUUUCUUUUUCUUAA